UAUUUUUGAGGUCAGAAAAGGUUCCUGACGCACUCAGAAAAGAGUACCUGAGAUGAUGGAUACACCGCCCAUCCAAAAAUA
rnacentral:ncRNA from 12 species